GCCGGGAUGGCAGAGUAGUUAUGCAUCCGCCUGCAGAGCGGACGACCAGGGUGCAAAUCCCUGUCCCGGCU
rnacentral:tRNA from 1 species